rnacentral:rRNA from 1 species
AUGUUUUUUUUCUGUCUCAGAUUGAACGCUGGCGGCAUGCCUUACACAUGCAAGUCGAACGGUAACAGGUUAAGCUGACGAGUGGCGAACGGGUGAGUAAUGUAUCGGAACGUGCCCAGUCGUGGGGGAUAACUGCUCGAAAGAGCAGCUAAUACCGCAUACGACCUGAGAGUGAAAGCGGGGGAUCGCAAGACCUCGCGCGAUUGGAGCGGCCGAUAUCAGAUUAGGUAGUUGGUGAGGUAAAGGCUCACCAAGCCGACGAUCUGUAGCUGGUCUGAGAGGACGACCAGCCACACUGGGACUGAGACACGGCCCAGACUCCUACGGGAGGCAGCAGUGGGGAAUUUUGGACAAUGGGCGCAAGCCUGAUCCAGCCAUGCCGCGUGCGGGAAGAAGGCCUUCGGGUUGUAAACCGCUUUUGUCAGGGAAGAAAAGGUUCUGGCUAAUACCUGGGACUCAUGACGGUACCUGAAGAAUAAGCACCGGCUAGCUAC